UACAGAGGGUGCAAGCGUUAAUCGGAAUUACUGGGCGUAAAGCGCGCGUAGGCGGUUCGUUAAGUUGGAUGUGAAAUCCUCGGGCUCAACCUGGGAACUGCAUUCAAAACUGUCGAGCUAGAGUAUGGUAGAGGGUGGUGGAAUUUCCUGUGUAGCGGUGAAAUGCGUAGAUAUAGGAAGGAACACCAGUGGCGAAGGCGACCACCUGGACUGAUACUGACACUGAGGUGCGAAAGCGUGGGGAGCAAACAGG
rnacentral:rRNA from 1 species